rnacentral:rRNA from 1 species
UACGUAGGGUGCGAGCGUUAAUCGGAAUUACUGGGCGUAAAGUGUGCGCAGGCGGCAGAGCAAGUCGAGUGUGAAAGCCCCGGGCUUAACUUGGGAAUUGCGCUCGAAACUACUUUGCUGGAGUGUGGCAGAGGAAGGUGGAAUUCCACGUGUAGCGGUGAAAUGCGUAGAGAUGUGGAGGAACACUAAUGGCGAAGGCAGCCUUCUGGGCCAACACUGACGCUCAUGCACGAAAGCGUGGGGAGCAAACAGG